rnacentral:lncRNA from 1 species
CCCCGAUUCCCGAUCCCAAUCCCGCCUCCAAUUCCUGAUCCCAAUCCCCAAUCCCGAUCCCUGAUUCCCUGAUUCCUGAUCCCUGAUUCCUGAUCCCGAUUCCUGCCCCCGAUUCCUGAUCCCAAUCCCACCCCUGAUUCCCGAUCCAGAUUCCCGCCCCCAAUUCCUGCCCCCGAUCCCCGAUUCCCGCGGCUCACAAACACCAAUCCACACCUUCUCCGACAGAAUUUAUGGAUCCGCAACACAAAAAACUCCGGGGGGGGGGGCGGCUCCCGGCAAUUCCCGCUUUUCCCCGCCCCCCUCUCCCAUCCCUCCCCGCCAUCCCUGAGCUCGCGUCUCCCGGAAUUCCAAAAACCCCGGGAAUAAAACCCCUUCCCGAGGGGCUCCGGGGCUCCUCAUCCCGGCCGGCGGAGAUUCCCGAGGAUUCCUCAGGAAUUCUCCAGCACCUGGUGGGGGAGGGGCACGGAUCCCGCUUUUUCCCGGCCCUUCAGGAAGAAGGUGAGGAGCUCCCCUUUGCCCUUGACGAAGACGGCGCCGCGCCGGACGAAGCGGAACCCGAAUUCCUUCAGGAUCUGCUGCGUCUCCUCCACCACCUGACGGGAAUUCCGACGGGGAAAAAAAACCGGGAAUUUGGGAAUUCCGCCCUUCCCCGGGAUGGGGAAAAGAAGGAUAAAAGGAAAAAGGGAGGGGAAGGAGGGGAUGGAUUCCGGGUGUGGGAAUUCGGGAGGGGAGAGUUGGUGGGGAUUCCUGGCUGGGCUGGAAUUCCCAGAGAAUUCUUGGGAAUGUCCAAGGAAAAGCUGGAGCAGGGUGGGAAUGGGAUGGGAAUGGGAUGGGAUUGGGAAUCCGUGGAUCCCAUCCCAAGGAAUUCCGGGAUUCUGGGAUCCAGGAGGCUCAGGAUCCACCCCGAGGGGUUUUUAUGGAAUUCUGGGAAGGGAGACCCUUCCUGGAGUCCCCAAUUCCCAGGGAAUUCCCAAAAUUCCUUCCCUUGGGAUGGGGCUGGAUCCAAUCCCGGUCUGGGAGAACCGGGAAUGUGCAGCCGGAUCAGGGAAGGAUCCCAGGAAUCCUGGGAGCCGCUUCCCGAGGCUCCAGGGGCUCCGGGAGAGCUGGGAUUUGGGAAAGGGCCGCAGGGCCAGGAGCCAGGGAAUGGCUUCCCACUGGGAAAGGGGAGCUGGGAGCUUGGGAA